GGCGAAGCCAGAGGAAACUCUGGUGGAGGCUCGAAGCGAUACUGACGUGCAAAUCGUUCGUCUGACUUGGGUAUAGGGGCGAAAGACUAAUCGAAACCUCUAGUAGCUGGUUCCCUCCGAAGUUUCCCUCAGGAUAGCUGGAGCCCAUUACGAGUUCUAUCAGGUAAAGCCAAUGAUUAGAGGCAUUGGGGACGCAACGUCCUCGACCUAUUCUCAAACUUUAAAUAGGUAGGAUGGCUCGGC
rnacentral:ncRNA from 1 species